CACACCGCCCGUCACACCAUGGAAUUGGAUCUACCCGAAGGUGGUGCGCCAACCUGGCAACAGGGGGCAGCCAACCACGGUAGGUUCAGUCGACUCGGGGUG
rnacentral:rRNA from 1 species